UACUGUACCUCCAGCAUGACCCAUACGACGGCCGGGUGGAGCAGUAAGUCCAGCAAUAAAUGCUACUAUAGGCUUCUGAGUCCCACUUUCCUUCAUUAAAGCAGCAGCAUCCUCUUCUGCAGUCCCUCCGAUUUCUCCUAUAAGAACAAUGCCUGAAAUGGAAAAUGCAUGCACAAUAAGAA